rnacentral:ncRNA from 1 species
GACUCUGCGUUGAAGAAGAGGAGUAGUCCGUGUAAUUCUUUUAGAGAGCUGGUGACGGUGAAAAUCCAGCAGAUAGUAUGGAUGAAGGGAGCUUUGGAGCAGAACUUCCAAAAGUGGGUGCAAGAAAUUUGCAUCAAUUAGGGUGGAACCGCGAAAGCAAGCCUUUCGUCCCUUUG